rnacentral:rRNA from 1 species
UACGGAGGGUGCGAGCGUUGUCCGGAAUCACUGGGCGUAAAGGGCGCGUAGGUGGCGCGGGCAGUCAACGGUGAAAGUUCGGGGCUCAACCCUGAAUCGGCCGUCGAUACUCCCGGGCUUGAGCACUGUAGAGGCAGAUGGAAUUCCGGGUGUAGCGGUGGAAUGCGUAGAGAUCCGGAAGAACACCGGUGGCGAAGGCGGUCUGCUGGGCAGUAGCUGACGCUGAGGAGCGAAAGCGUGGGGAGCGAACAGG